rnacentral:sRNA from 1 species
CAGCUGUGCCUGCUGAUACAGGGAGUUGUGUGUUACUGAGAGUACGCACAGAAGCUUUCCCUGCUGAUGCCUGCUCAAAUUAUGGGUCCAUCCAAUUGUGUGUUCACAGCUUUAGGAAAAGAAGGAGCUGCUUCCUGUCCUUUACAUCCAACAGCGUGGGAGACGUUCUCAUUUCAGCCUUUUGAGGCACGGAGGACCCAAACAACCCAUAUUACUUUGAUUUGAUGACGACUGGACUUCAACUUUUAAAAGCAACAAGGUUCACUACGCUAUCACGGCUGGCCUGAGAUUGACUUAGUAGACAAGACUGGCCGUGAAGUCACAGAUUUGUUUGCCUCUGUUUUACAGGUCUUUGGAACAAAGGGCUGGGGAUGAACCCAGGGCCUCUCAGAUGCUAGACAUGUGCUCCACUCCUGAGAUGCACUCCCUACCCCCUCAAUGGAGCAUCAGAGGUAGUGCUCCAUAUCUGUGGUUGUGGCUGGCUGUGGCUCAGUGAGUGAUGAGACUCCAUGUGUGCACUUCCAAACUCAGGGGCAACACUGUUCAUGUCUCCACUUAUGGAUGGGGACCCUGACAAUUCACCGUGAUCAAGAACAAUGAUGAUGGGCCAGAAAUGGUAGCCCAUGCCUUUGGGAGACAGAGGCAGCCAGAAGUUUGUGAAUUCAAGGCCACCCUGGUCUACAUACCACAUUCCAGAGCAGUCAGGGCUACACAGUCAGACCUUGCCUCAAAACAAAGAAGUGAAGAACAAGAACGUGAAUUUCUGGAGAUGCUCUAAGUUUUAGAAUGCUUACCUAUUGUACUUGAUGUUCUGGGUUCAAGUCUUAGCACUGAAUAAACCAGUUGUAUCAACUUCUGGCCUGUAACUCAGGAGAUGGAAACAAAGGGAUCACAAUUUGAGGUUGUGCCCCCUAGAUGGAUCACUGAGGAAAGGCUUUUGCUGUGCAAACCUGGUGGCGACUUGAGUUCAAUUCUCAGACCCACUUACAAGUAGAAGUUGGAAGCAGUCUGCAGAAGAGUUGCUGAAGACCACCACACAGAGCAAGGCCAUGGAGUGCUACAUCCCCACACAUAGUGCUUAGGCCCUGCUGUCUCCACCACACACCAAGAAAAGCUGCUGCGGGGAGCCAAAAGGACAUAGAGCUAGGAUACAGGAUGAGCCACAGAGAUAAUCCACAGGAAUGUUAGUUCAGCCUCGGGGUCCAAAGGCAAAGCUGAACCCUGAAAAGGCCUCUUCAAAGCAGAGAGAAGGUGACCAAAGUCUGAUGAAAAAUGCUAUUGGUGUCAAAGAUGAGAGAAGACGGAGCUGCCAUGGCUUGGCCACGCACCUAAGCUGCAAGAGAAGCCCUGGCUGUGAUCCUUAGCUUGAACUCAAUAUCAGGUGGUGCUAGACUUGAAUUUGUGAUCCUCCUUUUCCAGAGUGCCAAGAAAGCAGACUCUUUGUAGGACCCCAACUGCCUCACUGGAGUGGAUCAGUCGCACUUGCACCUGGGCCCAUCCAGCCCAGAGCAGGGGGAAGGACAAGAGGAAUCCAGGAGAGAACAUUGAAUCCUGUGAAACUCAAAACUCAAGAUACAAAUGGUUGUGGCCUGCCAUAUGGUUGCUAGGAACUGAA